rnacentral:rRNA from 1 species
GACGAACGCUGGCGGCGUGCUUAACACAUGCAAGUCGAACGGUAAGGCCCUUCGGGGUACACGAGUGGCGAACGGGUGAGUAACACGUGGGUGAUCUGCCCUGCACUCCGGGAUAAGCCUGGGAAACUGGGUCUAAUACCGGAUAGGACCACUGCCUGCAUGGGUGGUGGUGGAAAGCUUUUGCGGUGUGGGAUGGGCCCGCGGCGUAUCAGCUUGUUGGUGGGGUGAUGGCCUACCAAGGCGACGACGGGUAGCCGGCCUGAGAGGGUGACCGGCCACACUGGGACUGAGAUACGGCCCAGACUCCUACGGGAGGCAGCAGUGGGGAAUAUUGCACAAUGGGCGCAAGCCUGAUGCAGCGACGCCGCGUGAGGGAUGACGGCCUUCGGGUUGUAAACCUCUUUCAGCGCCGACGAAGCGCAAGUGACGGUAGGUGCAGAAGAAGGACCGGCCAACUACGUGCCAGCAGCCGCGGUAA